GUGGGGAAUAUUGCGCAAUGGGGGCAACCCUGACGCAGCAACGCCGCGUGAAGGAAGAAGGCCUUCGGGUUGUAAACUUCUUUGAUCGGGGACGAAACUGACGGUACCCGAGGAACAAGCCACGGCUAACUACGUGCCAGCAGCCGCGGUAAUACGUAGGUGGCAAGCGUUGUCCGGAAUUACUGGGCGUAAAGGGCGUGUAGGCGGGGCGGCAAGUCAGGUGUGAAAUCCCGGGGCUUAACUCCGGAGCUGCAUCUGAAACUGCUGUUCUUGAGUGCUGGAGAGGAAAGUGGAAUUCCCAGUGUAGCGGUGAAAUGCGUAGAGAUUGGGAGGAACACCAGUGGCGAAGGCGGCUUUCUGGACAGUAACUGACGCUGAGGCGCGAAAGCGUGGGGAGCAAACAGGAUUAGAAACCCUAGUAGUCC
rnacentral:rRNA from 1 species